GAGAAGACAAAAAUUUUAAAUUAGUAGAAAAAUAAUUAUCUUAAAUUAUAAAUAUUAGAAAAUCGUAUUAAUAAAAAAAUAACACCAUAUUAUUAAUAUUAAAAUAAAACUUUAUAAUAUAAAAUAAAAUUUAAAUUUAAGUUUUUAUUAUUAAUAAAAUUAAUUUUAUAGUAUAUUAUAUUAUAGGGGAAUUCUCAUGGAUACUAUGGCUUUAUGUUUUGGGGCCACAAAUACGACACACUUAUUUUCAUUAAUUCAAAUGUCUAAAGUAUCCUCAUAUUCCCCAACUUUUGCUUGAUUAGCGUCGUCUCUUUCUUUUGCCUGACAACAACAAAUCAUAUCGUCUUUGUGAUUCACAUCGCCGUCUCUUUGAUACAGAGGUUGCUUUGUCUUGACUCGCCUCACCGUUUCAAAUUCCUCCAGCUUCGCCUUGAUUUGUAUUGUGUCCUCCUCGCCUCGCCUCGCCGUGUUGACUUUGAAUAUGUGAUAACGAUGCUCAACAAUGGUCGUGAAGAACACAAAUCAUGGCACGUCUUCAUCAAAUUCGCACAUCAUGUUGGAUGGAAGUGUCUUUAAGCUACUCAAAAGGUGAACAAAUUCUCAAUUUGAAUCAUCUUCAUUAAUUUUAGAUUAUGAGGUUUUUGCUUCUUCAAUCCUGAAAUUUUCAAUCUAGUUCAUUGAUUAAUGGCUUAAUUCUCUUUAAACUGAUUUUGGUUUGCUAUUUUUAGAAUUUUUGUUUAGAGAUUUUGGUUUUGAAAUGUUAAGGGUGACGCAUCAUUGUAGAUCCUGAUAAAUAAGGAGGGAUAUUAGAUUAGUAAAAAUACUCAAACUCCAACAACAAUUGCAUUAGUUAAGUCUCAUGUGCUCACUCGUGGAUAUCUUGUGUCUGUUACUUGCUAGCUUCCUUUUACACAUAAUGGUUGAAUUAAUCAAAUGGAGAGUCUAAUAUAAAAUUCUCUGCAAUACAUUAGAUUAUUUGGAUUGAUUUGGGUUCAUGGGUACAUGAUCAUAAACAUAAAUGGCUUAGUAUACCACUUUCAUCACAGUCCUUUAUUUGGUGUAGCCUGUUAUUUGGAUUAUUUGGAUUGAUUUGGGUUCAUAGGUUUCCUGUUAAUUCAAAGAAUCUAUUCUUGGUGUUUUGGUGUGCAAAGCAUAAGAAGUUUUUUUGAAGGAUAUUACAUCUUGCGUAUGUGUUUGCCUAUGUAGAAGGAUGAGGUUUUAAACGUGGUAUUGUUCUUUUGGUUGUAGCUAUAAUUCAGGAAGACAUUCGUAUAGUUUAGGAGGACCUUCCAAAACAGAUUUUCCUUUUUCAUUUUUACAGUAUGACAUGUGAGACUUUUUCCUUCCCAAUGCCACACUGACUCAACUUCAAUUCAACAUACGAGAGGAGCCAAAAAUCAAGAGAUGAUUAUGUACAUGUGUCUAUACUACAGGAAUAAUAAGACAAAGCUACAAGGCGACAACAAGAGAGAUAACAAUCACAUACGCCUGAAAUCAAACAUGAUCUUAGGGGGGUGUAUUCAAAUCAUGAUUUGGAAGGAUUUUGUGGAAUUUAUAAUAUUUGAGAUUCUAGGAGAUUUAAGUGAGUUUUUAAGGUAUUAUGGUGG
rnacentral:lncRNA from 1 species